GAUGAAGAACGCAGCGAAAUGCGAUAAGUAAUGUGAAUUGCAGAAUUCAGUGAAUCAUCGAAUCUUUGAACGCACCUUGCGCCCUUUGGCCAUUCCGAAGGGCAUGCCUGUUUGAGUAUCAUGAACACCUCAACUCUCAUGGCUCGCCAUGAUGAGCUUGGAUUUGGGGGGCUUGCUGGCCUGUGGUCGGCUCCUCUCAAAUGGAUCAGCUUGCCAGUGUUUGGUGGCAUCACAGGUGUGAUAACUAUCUGCGCUUGUGGUUUUCCAUCUGAUAACCUUCAGUGAUGGAGGUUCGCUGGAGCUCAUAAACGUCUCCCCUAAGCGGGGACAGCCCUUUGAAUGUUUGAUCUCAAAUCAGGUAGGACUACCCGCUGAACUUAAGCAUAUCAAUAAGCGGAGGA
rnacentral:misc_RNA from 1 species